CACAAAUUUCUGGACAAUCUAUUACUUAAAGCUUAAAUUUCUAGACCUUACAAAGAAAGAAAGAGAAAAUACCAACGUUACACAGAGAGAAUCAGUUAUUUAUUAUCUUACAUCUGAAGAUAAAUAUCUAAGGCAGUUUUGUCUAUUAUUGUGUAUAUUUUGGAUACAACAGCAGGGGCUCUUCAGCAAUGUUUAGCCCUUAAAGAGAAUCACAGGUGUGAGGCAUUUUGCUGUAACCUCGUAAGCACCACCACAGCCUCCCGUCGGUUUUCCCACCGCACAAUGAGGAAACGUGCUCAGAAAGGUUGCAGCACUUACCCAGGACUGAGAACUGUAUGCGGAUCUGCCUGACUCCAAAGCCCCAGUUCGCAAUAGUUCACCCAACUUCACGACCAUGAUCUGGAGCCACUCUUAGGGCAGGGCUUCUCCAAGUAUGGUUUAUGGACGGGUGGCAACCUAGUCCCCUCGGAAUUCAGUUAUACGGAACAUGCAGAGUCCUGGGCCCCACUGCACAGUGACAGGAACACAUUUCUGGGGGUGGAGCCUGACAGAUCUGCUCUUCAGAUGGGUGCCCUACGUGAUCUACACAUUGAAGUCUAAGAACCGCUGGUGCAGAGGAAGACUUGAUGGAUCCCAUUUACCAUUUAUAAAUCGAGCACCUAUUAUACGCAUGGUCCACGCACUCACUGAGUCUGUGAAAUGAAGUGUGCAGGUCCUGGAGCCUUUCCCAGCUCUGUUAGGACUCCCCUUCCUUGGUGUAAUUUAUCCCAGAGGCUUUUGGACCAACUUUGGAAUGGCGAACCAUGAGCCAAAGUCCAAGCUUCACUUCUACCAGGCAUCAGACUUUCCUCCAACACAGGAAUGGAGGGCUACUAACUGAUUUGAGAAAAAAGUGUCAGUUGCUUGAAAAACCUUCUGCUGAUCUUAUGACUUCAAAAAGAUAAUUUAAGCAAGGAAGCCUCUCCUGGGAAGGAGGAAUCACACCAUCCCAUGUGAGAUUUUAUUCUGGAAUACGAAUACUUGUGUUGAAAAUCAUUUUCAGGGAGUGUGAUAAGGCCCUGGGGCAUUGCCCACACAGACAGAGGGACAAAGGGCUGUUUUCAUCAGUGACUCUACCCUUCUAUCUCUCACAAGGGGCUGGUAAGAGAAGAUAGUACUCUCUUUCAACAUGCAGUGACACAGUACAAUUCUUUCAAAGGACAUUUUAGUAAUAUAUAGCUGGAGUCAAAUAGAUGUUUGUAAUCUUUCACCUCGUGGGAAUUUAUCUCUUGGAAGUAAAAGAAGAAAACAAAGCUACAUGAACAACAGCAAUAAAAAUGUUUACAGCAGCAUUGUUUGUAAUGAAAAACCUGAAGCAAGCUAAUUC